GUUUGUUUCCCUCCAAUUUCAUUUUGUGCUUUGAAUUGCACAUUAACCUUUCCUCAGAGUUCCUGCUAAGCAAACGGCGAAUGUUCUCCAUUGCGAUCACGAUUAUGAGAGGUGGAUGGCUGACUCACGUCAGGGCGAGAACACGAUGAUGGCAGACACGAGCAGCGUUUUUGGCAGACGUUCCCCGAUGACAGCUGGUCAACAGCAUCUUCUUUGCAACCUGAUUGAGUUUCCCUUUUAUUUAAACACCCGUUAUGAUGACAAAGAGAUUCAUUACUAGAGUUGCAGAGUAGAAUCAAUCUAUAAAAUUCAAUUUUUAUUCUGACACAAGGAUGCAUUAUAAUGCAGAUGAUUCUUUUGUAAAAAAAUGUCAACUUUCUAAACAUUUGCUUUGUUGACUUCAAAACAAGACAUGAGACACAAGAAUAUAAAUAUGACAUCUGGUAUGAAAAAGCCAUGUUUUGACAAAUAAUUCAUCUAUACAGCAGGUGUUUGUGCAUUACAUACACAAAGUAAACACCCCACGCGCACACACACACGCUACCUGGGGAAUGCAAUGACAAUUAUCAUACGUUAAACAUAAUUCACCACCUAAAUUAAGGCAGAACUGAAUCCCCAUUUCUUGAUGUAUAUAUAAAUGUGUCAAAAAGUACGAAUUGGGGUAGCUAAAAAAUUCUGUGGUUGCCCUGCUGGAGUCUUCUAGGAAGUACAAUCAGCGUGUGCAUUUUUUUAGACUAUAGUAUUAAAUAGGAUCUUUCCCUGUAUCCAACCUUUCUCUUUUAGAUUUUGCCUUAUGAGCUUAACAGAUUAUGAUUAGGCACAGACAUAUAUUUGCACUGUCCCUCUGUUACCAUGGAUUCCAGUUUGAGAGAUGAUGGGUUAAAUAGAUCCCAUUAUCAAAUGUUCAGAAUGUCAACAAUAUUUUGAGCACUAAAAACAUCAUCUCUGAAGUACCCCAAUGAUGGAAUUAGUGUUGUAAAGUGUUUAAAGAAUAAGUAUGUUUGU